GUGGGGAAUAUUGGACAAUGGGGGGAACCCUGUUCCAGCCAUGCCGCGUGUGUGAAGAAGGCCUUUUGGUUGUAAAGCACUUUAAGCGAGGAGGAGGCUACCGAGAUUAAUACUCUUGGAUAGUGGACGUUACUCGCAGAAUAAGCACCGGCUAACUCUGUGCCAGCAGCCGCGGUAAUACAGAGGGUGCAAGCGUUAAUCGGAUUUACUGGGCGUAAAGCGCGCGUAGGUGGCCAAUUAAGUCAAAUGUGAAAUCCCCGAGCUUAACUUGGGAAUUGCAUUCGAUACUGGUUGGCUAGAGUAUGGGAGAGGAUGGUAGAAUUCCAGGUGUAGCGGUGAAAUGCGUAGAGAUCUGGAGGAAUACCGAUGGCGAAGGCAGCCAUCUGGCCUAAUACUGACACUGAGGUGCGAAAGCAUGGGGAGCAAACAGGAUUAGAUACCCUGGUAGUCC
rnacentral:rRNA from 1 species